rnacentral:rRNA from 1 species
UGGGGAAUAUUGCACAAUGGAGGGAACUCUGAUGCAGCGACGCCGCGUGAGUGAUGAAGGAAUUCGUUUCGUAAAACUCUGUUCUAUGGGAAGAAAAGGACUGUACCAUAGGAGAAAGCUCCGGCUAAAUACGUGCCAGCAGCCGCGGUAAUACGUAUGGAGCAAGCGUUGUCCGGAAUUAUUGGGCGUAAAGGGUGCGCAGGCGGCUUUACAAGUUGGAUGUGAAAUAUUGUGGCUCAACCACAAACGUGCAUCCAAAACUGCAAAGCUUGAGUUAAGGAGAGGUAAGUGGAAUUCCUGGUGUAGCGGUGGAAUGCGUAGAUAUCAGGAGGAAUACCGGUGGCGAAGGCGACUUACUGGACUUAAACUGACGCUCAGGCACGAAAGCGUGGGGAGCAAACAGG